UCCUCCCCGGGUUUAUUCAAUUCAUAAGCGGAGGAAAAGAAACCAACAGGGAUUGCCCUAGUAACGGCGAGUGAAGCGGCAACAGCUCGAAUUUGAAAUCUGGCUUCGGCCCGAGUUGUAAUCUGUAGAGGAUGCUUUGGGUGUAGGUGCCUUCCGAGUGCCCUGGAACGGGACGCCACAGAGGGUGAGAGCCCCGUAUGGUCGGUACCAAGCCUGUGUAAAGCUCCUUCGACGAGUCGGGUAGCUUGGGAAUGCUGCUCUAAGCGGGAGGUAAACUUCUUCUAAAGCUAAAUACUGGCCAGAGACCGAUAGCGCACAAGUAGAGUGAUCGAAAGAUGAAAAGCACUUUGAAAAGAGGGUCAAAUAGUACGUGAAAUUGUUGAAAGGGAAGCGCUCAUGACCAGACUUGCGCCGGGUUGAUCAUCCAGUGGUUUCCACUGGUGCACUCUGCCCGGCUCAGGCCAGCGUCGGCUGUUGCGGGGGGACAAAAGCUCUGGGAAAGUAGCUCUCUUCGGGGAGUGUUAUAGCCCUCUGCAGAAUACCCCCGCGGCGGCCGAGGUCCGCGCCCUGCAAGGACGCUGGCGUAAUGGUCAUCAGCGACCCGUCUUGAAACACGGACCAAGGAGUCGAGGUUUUGCGCGAGUGUUCGGGUGAAAAGCCCCAGCGCGUAAUUAAAGUGAACGCAGGUGAGAGCUUCGGCGCAUCAUCGACCGAUCCUGAUGUAUUCGGAUGGAUUUGAGUAGGAGCGUAAAGCCUCGGACCCGAAAGAUGGUGAACUAUGCCUGUAUAGGGUGAAGCCAGAGGAAACUCUGGUGGAGGCUCGCAGCGGUUCUGACGUGCAAAUCGAUCGUCAAAUAUGGGCAUGGGGGCGAAAGACUAAUCGAUCCUCCCCC
rnacentral:rRNA from 1 species